rnacentral:rRNA from 1 species
UACGGGGGGGCAGCAGUGUUCGGUGAAUUACUGGGCGUAAAGGGCGCGUAGGCGGCCACCGCAAGUCGACUGUGAAAUCUCCGGGCUUAACCCGGAAAGGUCAGCCGAUACUGCGGGGCUAGAGUGCAGAAGGGGCAACUGGAAUUCUUGGUGUAGCGGUGAAAUGCGUAGAUAUCAAGAGGAACACCUGAGGUGAAGACGGGUUGCUGGGCUGACACUGACGCUGAGGCGCGAAAGCCAGGGGAGCAAACGGG